AUUGAACGCUGGCGGCAGGCCUAACACAUGCAAGUCGAGCGGAUGAAGGGAGCUUGCUCCUGGAUUCAGCGGCGGACGGGUGAGUAAUGCCUAGGAAUCUGCCCGGUAGUGGGGGAUAACGUCCGGAAACGGGCGCUAAUACCGCAUACGUCCUGAGGUAGAACGUGGGGGAUCUUCGGACCUCACGCUAUCAGAUGAGCCUAGGUCGGAUUAGCUAGUUGGAGGGGUAAAGGCCUACCAAGGCGACGAUGCGUAACUGGUCUGAGAGGAUGAUCAGUCACACCGGAACUGAGACACGGUCCAGACUCCCACGGGAGGCAGCAGUAGGGAAUUUUCGGCAAUGGGCGAAAGCCUGACCGAGCCACGCCGCGUGAGUGAAGAAGGGCUUCGGAUUGUAAAACUCUUUUAUUAGGGAAGAAAAAAUGUGAAAGUAACUAUGCACGUUUUGACGGUACCCAAUCAGAAAGCCACGGCUAACUUCGUG
rnacentral:rRNA from 1 species